GUUGACCGAUGCUUUGUGUUUAAUAUGCUGAUCAAGCGACCUUGGCUGAACGCUGAGUAACAACAUUGACGAUGAAAAAUAAGAUGGGCUUUACGCAGCGCUCCGCUUCGCAAAGCACAUCGACGAGUCUGUUCACAUUCUCUUCCAAACCGAUUUUUCUAUAUUGAUAUACAGUAUUGUAAAUUCUAAAUGAAUAGCAUUUAAAUCUAUCAACUACCUGAUAUAAGACAGGCAUUGGCGAUCGGUUUAAUGUGUCUCGACGUACUGUACAGCAUGGAACAUUUUAAAUAAAGUUAUUGAUUCUCUCUUAAUAUUAAAUGAAAAUGAAAAAAUAAUUUUUUGGCCAUCAAAGCAGGAUGCUGAAAAAUCAAUGAAUUUUUUUAUAUCCAGUCUGGUUUCCCAGGAAUUAUAGGCUGUAUAGAUGGAAAGCAUAUGGCCAUUAAAGCACCACUUGAAGAAGCAGCAGCUUAUUUCGAUAGAAAUAAGUAUUACUCUGUCACUCUAUUAUACAAGCAGUUUGUAAUGAAAAAAUGGCAUUUUUAGACUGCUAUGUAUGUGAAGCAGGGUCAGUACACGAUGCCUGUGUUUUCCGAUGAUCAGCAUUGCAUGAAAGAGCAAACACCGGAGAUGGAUUUUUCAGCUGUGGCCAUAUUUUGGGCGAUAGUGCCUACACGUUAUCUGAACAUUUGCUUACACCAUAUCGAGAUAACGAGAAUCUCAACAGCGUGCAAAAGCUGUAUAAAAAUAAAUUAGCAAAAUGUAGAAACGUAAUUGAGCGUGCUUUUGCACAUCAUGUUGGACGGUUCAGGCAAUUAAAAUUUUUAGACAUGUGUCGAAAGGACUUGAUUGUAAAAAUAAUUAUUGGUGCAUGCAUUCUUCACAAUAUUUUAUACAAACUUGCAACGUAAUAGUAGAUGAUGAUUUUGACGACCAAGAAAGUGAAGAAACUGUAACGCAUCUACCUGUCCACCUGCUUUUCGUGCAAUUGAAUGAAAUGAAAAUUGUACAAUACAAUUGAAAUGAAAAUUUUUUAUUAAAAGCUGCCAUAUCACAAUGUGCUUUUUUUAUAUAUGGAAGAUUAUAGUUUAUCAAAUGUCAACAAAGCGUGAUGACAUUGCAAAUGGAAUUUUUAUAAGAUCUUAAAAACCGAGGAAGAAUUCAAGUGGAAUUCGAAAUUACAUUUGGAACAUUUUUGGACCCUACAUGU